UGGGGAAUAUUGGACAAUGGGCGCAAGCCUGAUCCAGCCAUGCCGCGUGAGUGAUGAAGGCCCUAGGGUUGUAAAGCUCUUUCACCGGUGAAGAUAAUGACGGUAACCGGAGAAGAAGCCCCGGCUAACUUCGUGCCAGCAGCCGCGGUAAUACGAAGGGGGCUAGCGUUGUUCGGAUUUACUGGGCGUAAAGCGCACGUAGGCGGACUAUUAAGUCAGGGGUGAAAUCCCGGGGCUCAACCCCGUAACUGCCUUUGAUACUGGUAGUCUUGAGUUCGAGAGAGGUGAGUGGAAUUCCGAGUGUAGAGGUGAAAUUCGUAGAUAUUCGGAGGAACACCAGUGGCGAAGGCGGCUCACUGGCUCGAUACUGACGCUGAGGUGCGAAAGCGUGGGGAGCAAACAGG
rnacentral:rRNA from 1 species